CCGCCCCGCCCCCAGCGCCCGACUGGGAGGCGGGCCGGGGCCGGGGCCGGGGCCGGGGCGAGCGCUCCGCAGGAGCUGGUUGCGUCUGGGCUGUGCGCGGAGCCGAGCGGGCUGGGCCCCCAAUCCCAGCGCCCUGCUCGGGGUCCGUGCUUCAUGCUCACGCUCUUUGGGUUUCCCCGCGGUGUGCUGCGCCUGCGUUCCCGCAAAGCUGGGUAACUCCAACUCGUGUCAAGGGGCCCACUUCACAGUGUCCCAGACCUCGACUGUGCUGACCCCCAGACCUAUUUGUACCGCCUUUACACGACUACUUUGGUGCUCACCGACAGUAGAGAGUGCACACAAGCACAGGGCACUGUCAUAACGGGGAUGGCGACUACAGGAACGCGUGUCGCAGACAACGAGCGAGGAGCGCAGAUCCACACCUUGGUGAGCGUCACCCCCACAGUGCACCGCACGAAGCAGCUACUGCCGGCUUCCACCACGCCGAUCGCAUAAGAGUGAAUUUACCUCGCCUCUAACCAAUUUGUGGUAUAAAAAGGGUCAUCGCAUAAGAACGAAUCCCGCAUAAAGCAAGAGAAACCUGUAUUUGAGUUGGUCUAAUAAAAGAUAAUCAGACUUGCCCAAAGAACCUUGUCUACCUAUGUCCUUAGACCAGCAAGGCUACAACGUAACACCCCAUGCUUCAUACAUGAUAUAUUUUACAUUUUUAUUACUAAAUAUAUUUUUCUAAUGAAAUGCUCA